rnacentral:rRNA from 1 species
CAAUAGCGUAUAUUAAAGUUGUUGCAGUUAAAAAGCUCGUAGUUGGAUUUCUGGCUGGAGCGAUCGGUCCGCCCCGCAAGGGGUGUGUACUAGCGUCGUCUCCGACCAUCCUUGUGGGAACUGUGCGGCCGUUAACUCGGUUGUAUAUGGGAACACAUCGUUUACUGUGAAAAAAUUAGAGUGUUUAAAGCAGGCUUAAGCCGUUGAAUACAUUAGCAUGGAAUAAUAAGAUAGGACUUUGGUCUAUUUUGUUGGUUUGCAGACCGAAGUAAUGAUUAAUAGGGAUAGUUGGGGGUAUUUAUAUUCCAAUGUCAGAGGUGAAAUUCUUAGAUUUUUGGAAGAUGAACUACUGCGAAAGCAUUUACCAAGGAUGUUUUCAUUUAUCAAGAACGAAAGUUAGGGGAUCGAAGACGAUUAGAUACCAU